UCCGCGUUCACCGCGAAUUCUACAGAUUACCAGUUCCCACAACACAGCUGGCCAAGAUUUCCAAACUGCUUUUAACACUGGAAAAAGGACAACUUUCCCAGAUCCAGGGGAAAUCACUGGAUGAGAUCAAAAUAGAAGAUGAAAUUGCAUUAAGUGAUGCUGAAACAAAGGACAGUGAGAGUGAAUCAGAUGAUGAUGACACAGCACUCACAAUGUUGGCGUGUGGCACCAGUGAGCCUGUACAUGCAGUAGCUGAUUCCACAAACACAGCGCAGCUCCAAGACACUGUAGAUUGUGCAGAUGAAGGACCACUCACAAUGCCUGCAGCAAGUGAGACUGCUGCUCCCUCUGAAGAGAAAAAUGCUGCUCAAUCCCACAAUUCCCGAAGAGCUCCCAAAAACAUGUGGUCCAAGGCUGAGGUUGCUGCAGUGAUGAGGCAUUUUAAAGACCACAUAAACGAAGGGAAACUAGCCACCAAAAAUGAAUGCAGUCAUUGCAAAUUGGUAGAAGAUCCGGUGUUGGCAGGAAGAACAGUUCAAAACAUAAGAGAUUUUGUAAGAAACAGAGGAUUAACUGCAAAAAGGCAGAAAAAAAUGAACUAAAAUAACUGUUUAGAGAGCUGUGGUUUUACAUCUUGGUCAGAUUGCCAAUUGUUGUUAACACUGAUGUUCUGUUUAAAGAAAAAAAAGUUCUUGUUAAAUACAGAAGUAGUUUGUAUUUCAUAAUUUUUACAUUUAAUUUAUUUAGGGUUUUUUUUGACGGGUUAUAUUUAAAAUAAAAAAUUAUAAAUGCAUAUUUUCUCCCCUUAAUAUUUACCUUUAAACUAUUAAAAUUCAUUUUAAAUGUUUUUAAUUUUUCUGUUUUCUAUAUUUUUAUAUUUCUGUGGGAAGCGUGGGCAUUUUUGUCCAUAGAUUUCUUUUUUUAUUUAUGGUUAAAAUUAAUGUUCAGAUCCAAGAACACUAAUAAAAUGAUGUUCCAGUAA